AGCUGUAUGCAACAAAAAUUUCUUUGUGUUCAUAUAAUUUGUUACCUAAUGCCAACAACUUAGUAAUCCUCAGGUCUGUGUUCUAUUUCCAUUCUUUUAUUUACUGACAUUGCAAAAUAUACUUAAUCUUCACUGGUUUGUUUUUUGUACAUACAUAUAAUUCCUGUGAACUACAACUGCUUUCCUGUCAUCCAGGAAACCUCCAGUACUCAAGGAACAUGAUCUCCUGUACAAUCAAAUAUAAGUCAUGUUCCACUGGUCUCCUUCAGGAACUCAAAGCUAUACAGAAGAAAACUGAGCCCCAUGUGAAUGGAUGAGAUAGGCUUUACAGCUUCUCUCUGAUUUCAUUGCAUAUUGAAUGAUUUUCACUGAUCAAGGAACAUGAAGGUCAGAAGGUCAUUCCUGAGCAAUUUGAGAGAUGACUGCAUUUCCGUCCUCCCCAAAAGACAAGGAUGAGUGACUUUGCUGUUGAAGGAAGGUAAGUGGGGCUGUAAGAAGUUGUGGACUAACACAACUGUUCCAUUAGCAAAUAGUUGAUAUAAUGAGAGUGCAAAAGGAGUAAUAGAGCACUGUUUACACAGACUACAUGCACUUCCCCUAAACAUUUGUUUUCCUCAGCCUAGUUCUUUUACUUUCAUAUGAACUAUCCAAUUAUUACAGGUGUAUCCACCACACUGGUGUAUCUUCCUCUC
rnacentral:lncRNA from 1 species